rnacentral:piRNA from 1 species
ACCUGGAAUUGGCCAAGGGCUCAGGAG